GAUGAAGAACGUAGCGAAACGCGAUAUGUAAUGUGAAUUGCAGAAUUCAGUGAAUCAUCGAAUCUUUGAACGCACAUUGCGCCCCCUGGUAUUCCGGGGGGCAUGCCUGUCCGAGCGUCAUUACAACCCUCAAGCUCAGCUUGGUGUUGGGCCCCGCCGCCCCGGCGGGCCCUAAAGUCAGUGGCGGUGCCGUCCGGCUCCGAGCGUAGUAAUUCUUCUCGCUCUGGAGGUCCGGUCGUGUGCUCGCCAGCAACCCCCAAUUUUUUUCAGGUUGACCUCGGAUCAGGUAGGGAUACCCGCUGAACUUAAGCAUAUCAAUAAGCGGAGGA
rnacentral:misc_RNA from 1 species